CAGCCAGCCUCUGUGACUGUGCAGCCAGGUCAACCUCUGACCAUCAGCUGCCAGGUCUCUUAUUCUCUCAGCAGCUACUACACAGCUUGGAUCAGACAGCCUGCAGGAAAAGGACUGGAGUGGAUUGGAAUGAAACAUGGUGGAGGGACCACAUUCUUUAAAGAUUCAUUAAAGAACAAGUUCAGUAUCGACGUAGACACUUCCAGCAACACAGUGACUCUAAAGGGACAGAACGUGCAGCCUGGAGACACUGCUGUGUAUUACUGUGCCAGAGACUUAAUCUCCCUUCAAACUGAUGACAAACCAAACCACCAACCAGACGUUCAACAAACGACCAUGAUGACUUUAACUAAAUGUCUCACAUUUCUGCUGCUGUCAGCCAUUUCUGGUGUUUGCAGUCAGACUCUGACUGAAUCUGAACCGGCGGUGAAGCAGCCCGGAGAAUCCCACAAACUGACGUGUACAUAUGCAGGGAUAUCUGAUGACUCUGCUGAUAUCAGCUGGAUCAGACAAGCUGAAGGAAAAGGCCUGGAGUGGGUUGCCCACAUUUCUGCUCCGUCAGGCAGCUCUAAAUAUUAUUCAGGAUCUGUCAAGAAUUGCUUCACAAUUUCCAGAAACAACAACAUGGACCAGGUGUAUCUGCACAUGAGCAGCCUGACGACUGAAGACUCUGCUGUUUAUUAUUGUGCUCGAGAUCCACAGUAA